GUCCCCUUGGGAUAGCGGGUAAGGGAUGCAGCCCGUAAGCUGGAGGUCCCGAGUUCGAACCUCGAGGCGGGACA